rnacentral:tRNA from 1 species
GUCGGGUUAGCUCAGUGGCAGAGCGCAGGACUUUUAAUCCUGUGGCCGCGGGUUCGACCCCCGCAUCCGACA